rnacentral:piRNA from 1 species
UUCACCAAUCAGAAAGGUGUCACUGGGGCAU